AAGUCGUAACAAGGUCUCCGUUGGUGAACCAGCGGAGGGAUCAUUACUGAGUAUCUUACUCUCUACCCUUUGUGAACUAUUAUACCUGUUGCUUCGGCGGGGAGCCCUUCAGGGGGUAGCCCGCCGGAGGACCACUAAACUCUUGAAUUUUUGGCCUCUCUGAGUGAUUACACAAUGAAUCAAAACUUUCAACAACGGAUCUCUUGGUUCUG
rnacentral:misc_RNA from 1 species